UCAAAGAGUUAUUACCCAUAUAUUCCAAUGAUAAUACAUAUUGUGCAUUUCUAAGGUGAUUCGAGCUCUGGAUCCCAAGCUAAACCCAGCCUCGGCAGAAAUUCAGUCACUGAAAGUGCAGCUCUCUGAGAAAGAGAAGAGGAUCAUUGCUCUGGAGCGGGAGUGUGAGCAGGCCAAACUGAGGGAAUAUGAGGAGAAGUUAAUUGUGACUGCUUGGUAUAAUAAGAGUUUGAAUUUCCAGAAGAUGGCAAUCGAGGCACGGCUUAGCGGGCGAUCCAACUCUAUAUUGCCGCCCGGCCAGUCCUUCCUGGCUCAGCAACGUCAGGUGACCAACGCCCGGCGCACCAUGUCAAUCAACGUGCCUGCCCCUUCUUCCAAGUAACCUUGUCCUGAGUACCUCCCCAACUUCCUGCUCUUCUCCUCCUUCCCCUCACACGUACACUCAAGUGACCUUAAGUACACUUCUAAACAAGGGGACAAGCAUGCCAUUAUGAACAUUAGCUGUCCCCAUGUGCUCACUCUCUAUGGUUACACAUGUAUAAUAAUGUACAUAAGGGGCUGAACUCUGAUGAAAGUUACUCAAUCAGCACACUAUGACAUACAGUAGUAGUCCUUUUCACUUUCAGUACUAAACAAGCACCUGUAACAGUCUGCAGCAGGGUCAUUUCUGAACCAGCAUCCAUACUAAAGGUCACAGGUCCAUCCUUGUCAGGCUUACUCAGAUUGUGCAGUAACAAAUGCAUUCAAUGCGUCCUGUAAUGGUAGCAUGCAUGCUUUUGCUAGAAAUGACUUCCAACUAUACACUAUGCAGCCAUGGAAUAUAUUUGUAAUCACGUAGGUAUGUCUUAUAAAACAUUGAAAGUAUAUGCAGACUACACAUUUUGGCCUAACCAAUCAAAAUAUGUAGAUCAGGAUGAUGAUGUAUUUGGUGCUGGACACCAGAUUUCUUAGUUUGUUCCUAUUACAAUGACUUUCUCAAACAACAUUAAAAAAGACAUGCAUUUAAUCAAUCUAACUGAUUAAAUCUGAAUCCAGGUGCUUCGUUCAGCCGGUUAUGGUAUUUUAUAUUCAGUUGACUGUGAUAGGAC